rnacentral:rRNA from 1 species
CACACACACACACUGUGAUAAAGUCUCAUGGAAUGUAUGCUGCGUUUAACGCAAUAUAAUACAACUUUCAGCAACGGAUCUCUUGGCUCUCGCAUCGAUGAAGAACGCAGCGAAAUGCGAUAAGUAAUGUGAAUUGCAGAAUUCAGUGAAUCAUCGAAUCUUUGAACGCACCUUGCGCCCUUUGGCUAUUCCGAAGGGCAUGCCUGUUUGAGUAUCAUGAACACCUCAACUCUCAUGGCUUGCCAUGAUGAGCUUGGACUUUGGGGGUCUUGCUGGCCUGCGGUCGGCUCCUCUCAAAUGAAUCAGCUUGCCAGUGUUUGGUGGCAUCACAGGUGUGAUAACUAUCUACGCUUGUGGUUGUCCACCAGGUAACCUUCAGCGAUGGAGGUUCGCUGGAGCUCAUAAAUGUCUCUCCUCAGUGAGGACAGCUCUCUGAAUGUUUGAUCUCAAAUCAGGUAGGACUACCCGCUGAACUUAAGCAUAUCAAUAAGCGGAGGAAAAGAAACUAACAAGGAUUCCCCUAGUAACUGCGAGUGAAGCGGGAAGAGCUCAAAUUUAAAAUCUGGCGUGCCUCU